ACAAGAAUCAUAGCAGAGUCAACUGGGAGAUCUUAUGAACAAGUUCAGAAAGACAUUGAUAGGGAUCGAUACAUGUCUCCAAUUGAAGCAGUUGAAUAUGGAAUAAUUGAUGGGGUUAUAGAUGAAGAUAGCAUUAUCCCACUUGAACCUGUUCCUGAUCGAGUUAAACCUACACUCAGUUAUGAUGCAAUUAGCAAAGAUCCUUCAAAAUUCUUGAACCCUGAGAUACCUGAUGAUGAAAUCUACUAGGUGGAAGGUGGGUAACUAUUGCAAAUUUGCAAUUGCUUGAAGACAGUUUUACAACAAUUUAUCUUUCUUUGAAUGUUCUUUAGUUAUUAGAAUUUGUUAGUUUUGUGAUUGAAGUGGGA
rnacentral:lncRNA from 1 species